UGUCACUUUGGCUAAGGAGCUCAACUUAUGUUGUAACCAUUGGCAAAAUGGCAACGUUAGUAACAUUAUAUAAGCAUUUUUGGAUUCAAAAUGGGGAUUUUCGCCAAAAGGUCAUCUGCUCAUACUGAAAACAGGUGUGCAUCGGGUUAAAGGAAGGCCAUGGCUCUCGGGAUGGCAAUUUCAGUCUGUCAGUCAGCCAGUCCACCACCUUGGAACACACUGAAAUCUCCCAAAAACCACUGGAUGGAUUUCCAUGACAGUUUGGACAGACAUUCAUGUUUCCCUCAGAACAAAUUGUUUUCACUUUGUUGAUCACUUAUCUGUCGCUACCAUCAGGUCAAAAUUUAAACGUUUCAAAUACUUUGGUUUGUAUUCCCUACUUACCUGUAGCCUACUUUGUUUUUAGUACUAAUUAGCAAAUGUUAGCAUGCUAACAGGCUAAACUAAG